UACAGAGGGUGCAAGCGUUUGUUCGGAAUUAUUGGGCGUAAAGCGCGUGUAGGCGGCUUUGCAAGUCGGGUGUGAAAGCCCUCAGCUCAACUGAGGAAGUGCGCCCGAAACUGCAGAGCUUGAGUACCGGAGAGGGUGGCGGAAUUCCCCAAGUAGAGGUGAAAUUCGUAGAUAUGGGGGAGGAACACCGGUGGCGAAGGCGGCCACCUGGGACGGGUCAACUGACGCUGAGACGCGAAAAGCGUGGGGGAGCAAACAGG
rnacentral:rRNA from 1 species